UUAUGCAGAAAUUAUUCCAGUUUUAUUAGAAACAACAAUUUCGAAGCAAAUAAUUGCAUACUGCAAGCUGACUGGCAAACGCAUUGACAUUAUAGGUGAGACAGAUACUGAAGGGAAUACUCUAUCAAAUAAGUAAAUAUUCUUUAGAUAAUCUCAAACGAAAAAGUUACAUUUAAUAAAUCUUAUUUAAUAAAUCUUGCCAACUACGGGAAAAUAUCUUGUUUCAGCAAGUGCAGCAAUGGUUUUCCUAAUCGAAGAUCUAAAGGGUAGCGAGACUCUUGAAAUGUUUUUUAAUUGCUCAAAUCCAAAACAGCAUCUAUUCAUUUUAUCGUGUGGACUGUCUUUUUUCGUUGAUAGAAAAGUAAUUGUAGUUAAACCUCCAAAAUUUUCUGUUGCCUUUGACUUGGCAUAUAUAUACUUGUUCUAAUGGUUCAAAUGUCGCCAUUUUUAGUAAUGCAUCAUCUUCAAGUAUAAUGAAAAAAAAAAAGACUUGGAGCUUUCAAUCUAAGUCUUGAUAAUACUGAA